rnacentral:rRNA from 1 species
UACGUAGGGACCAAGCGUUGUUCGGAUUUACUGGGCGUAAAGGGCGCGUAGGCGGCGAAUCAAGUCAGCUGUGAAAUCUCCGAGCUUAACUCGGAACGGUCAGCUGAUACUGUUUUGCUAGAGUGCAGAAAGGGCAACCGGAAUUCUUGGUGUAGCGGUGAAAUGCGUAGAUAUCAGGAAGAACACCCGUGGCGAAGGCGGCUCUCUGGUACGUGACUGACGCUGAGACGCGAAAGCGUGGGGAGCGAACAGG